UUCCGGUCGCAGUGGAGACCGGGAGUUGUAGUUUCCGGUGGCGGGAAGAUGGAGCGCGUGGAGUUUGAGAAGUUGCGGGAGAUUCACAGCGAAAAGAUUUGCGAGGAUCUCCUGGAGGCUACAGAACUGCUAUGUCAACUUAACAAGAAUUUAUCAGUGUGGGCUGAGAGAACCGGGAAUAUUGAGAAACUUACACAGGUUUGGGAACAGUUUCAGAGCCGGCUGAGUGUCCUAUCACAAGCGUUUAACCGAGUGCCGCCGCUGUGAUGUCAGGGCUGGAAACCUUUGAUCUGUUUGUGCGUUCUGCUAAAACAACUUCUAAAAGACAUUAAAACUCGUACAAUCACUUUGUGUAGGAUUUUCACACGUUGA